AUACGGGGGGAGCAAGCGUUGUCCGGAAUCAUUGGGCGUAAAGGGCACGUAGGCGGUUUCUUAAGUCGAAUGUGAAAUCUCACGGCUCAACCGUGAAACUGCGUUCGAAACUAAGUGACUUGAGUUUGGGAGAGGUGUACGGAAUUCCUGGUGUAGCGGUGGAAUGCGUAGAUAUCAGGAAGAACACCAAUGGCGAAGGCAGUACACUGGCCUGAAUCUGACGCUGAGGUGCGAAAGCGUGGGGAGCAAACAGGAGUAGAAACCCCAGUAGUCC
rnacentral:rRNA from 1 species